AAUUGCAAAAAAAAUUAAAUUAAUUGACGGAAAAGUUGUCAAUUCGAUAGAAGAUAGACGUUUUGGAUUAUGUGUUUCAUCAAUUCGGUUAUUUUUAAAUGAUGAACUUGUAAUCCUUAUUGUUAUGUUCUUGGGGAUGUAGAAAAUCUAAAUCCUCAUGAUUUCUCAGACGUAGGUAGUUCUUAAAUUCCUGUAACAUUAAUGUUAGUCUCACAAAAUGGGUUGUGUGUGUUGUUCUCUCAGUUCAUUCGUUUCAAUCGUCUUAGAUGCUUUAGAAAGAAUCUCUCUAUGCACAGUAUGUGCCAUGUUAACUUGUUGUCUUCUGUUCACAAUCAUAACUGUAAUGGUCAUGGGAAUCGGUAUCGGGUACCAUUACUGUUUUGUAUCCAAUUCUGUGGAAGCUAUGGCAAAGGCUGCCAAGGCAGCUGGCGCUUUGCGGUCGGGCCCAGAAAGAACACCGGGCCAUGUGAUGCGAUCCGUAGACAAGGCCAUCAAGCGAGGGUUCGCUCACCGCCUGUCUCGCCGCGACAUUGAUGGCCCCACCCCUCAAAAUAACACCAACGAAGGUCUCCUCCAAGAAAUUGCCAUCACAAAUCGAACAAACCUUACGAAUUUCAUAUCAGAUCGAACAAAUUUUACGAAUUUCAUAUCAAAAUGACAGUUGUAUGCAUUGGGAUAUAAAUUAAACAUGUUGUAAAAAUGC